CUGUCGGUUCGACAAAACGUCGAGAGACCGACAGAAAGGGAACUGAGUACACAUUUAUAAAAAGAAGCAAAAUAGUUUGUAGUAGGACUAUUUUCCUGUGUCCUAUUCUUCCAGUACAUUUGCAAGUAUUGAGGUGAAGAACUUCAAUCCUGCCAUAAUGGAGAGCCUUACUGUUCUUCUAGUCAACAAGGAAACAGACAGAUCAACAUGUUCUGAUGAGUCACUGGAGAAUCUUCAAUCUAUCCUUAAUUCUGGUCCUCUCAAAUCAGUUAGUUACAAAUGCAGAGUAGUUCAUCAGGCAAAAGUCAAGGAUUGCAUUGAUGAUCAAAAGAUUCUUUGUGGCAACUGUUGGUAAAAAUCGAAAUCCAUCUGUGAACUAGAAUUUUUUUGCUAUUAUUUUUCUGUUUUGUUUCAUACUUUAAUUUUUCUAGAUAAUGUAUCUGAAACAUGAUUCUGAAUCUUGACAAUAUUGUCAUAUUUUGACACUGUUACUGGCUCAUUAUAUUACAUUUUAGGGGGGUUUCCCAGACAGUGUUUAGAUUUAGCUAAGACUAGGCCUUAAAUUAGGACAUUUCAGUGUUUUUUACAAACAUGUCUCACAAAAAAACAUUACCUGUGUGUAUUUUGAGACAAAACAAUGACACUGAUGUAUUUUAAGAUGUGUCAGUGCAAGCUGAUUGGGACUAGUCUUAAACCCUGUAUGGGAAACCACCCCAUUAUAAACUGAUUUUAAUUCAGCAAUUUAUUAAUCUAGAUUUUUUUAAAUGUAAAAUUCCAACUUGUGACUUGACUCUUGUUGAAUGGCUGUUGUGAAUUUAGUUUUUUUCUUUUUAUUCUUACUUUUCCCUCAGUACUACACGCUCCAUAUUUCCAAGUACACUAUAUGUAUAUCCCUAUCAAAGAGUAUAGAAUUCCAAGAGGCGAUACUCAAUAGAACAUUCCAUCGUGCCCAGUAGCAGCCCUCUGCUUCUGCCAUUUUGGUGUGAAAGUGACUCGGCAGUGCAAUAGGUUUUUGCUGUCGCGAUGGCAAUAUCAGCUGCUUUAAAAAAAAUCAAAGCUAAAAUCCAACCUGAAUGAUGACAAUACAUGAUGACAAAACCUUUGCUCUCUUGAAACCAUGUGUGUGUUAUCAAGUAUUCGCAUAGUAAACACUUUAUUAAUACCAACAAAUUAAGGACAAGCAUCAGAAAAAUUGGCAAUGUUGAACAAUAACUGGGUAGUUGACGAAUAAAUCGUGUGACAUAGCAAGAUUUAGGUAACAAACUGUAAAAAUUACAUUAUUUUAUAUUUUUAAUGUUUAUGUUUAUAAUAUAAAACAGUAUAAGAGAUUUUUUUUUCUUUUUUUUCCUAAAUUUGCAUAUUAAUCUGUCAAAUACCCAAAUUUUUAUGGAAAAAGCUAAUGGUUCACAAUGGUAGGCCUAUUUUAAUGGAAACCAUUAGAAUUGGGUUUCUAUUGUUUUUUCAGCAGUAAUACCCUUGCUAAAAACAAUAGAAACCCAAUAGAAACCAUCACAGAAAUUCUAAUGGCUACCAUUAUGAACCAUUAGCUUUUACUAGUGUGUUUUUGGUAUUAUUCCAAUAGGAUUUAACAUUAUUACCAUUGAAUUAUUAAUAUGAUUUUUUUCAGCAUGGUGAUAUAAAAUCAUCAUGUUUGUAGUGUGUUCCAGGGGAUUAAAACGUGCAAUAUAUAUUUCAGACCUAGUGGAGAAAAAGUAACUAAUAAUUGUAAUAGUGAAUGUGUAAAGUUGCAUAAAAUGGUAAUACUCAAUAAAGUAGGCUAAAUGGUUGGAUUCCACAACUGAUAACAUAAACGUAUAUAAGACAAUACAAAAUUUACUGUAGGUGUCAAAAAAUUUACUGAGGACUUAAUUUGAGAAUUUUCUAUUGCGCUAUUCUGUAUGCCUGUGCUACUUACCAGCUGCCAUUUUUCACCCCACACUACUAGUGGCUGUUUCCAAAAAAGAGUUUUGUCUCUUGGUUCUUUGUCCCUACAUUCCAUUAUACACGAUAUGCCACACUACAUUACCCAUAGUGCUUUGCUCUAGGUCUAUAAAUAGACCUAGUUUUUUCACAAGAACUGUGAUGAUGUUCAACGGUCAUUAGCAUUGUAAAUCCUCAAAAAAACAAUGUCAGCAUUUUUCCAAAAAAAAAACCAUUUGUAAACCUAUACUCUGUAUUAUAUUACCUUUGCAUCAAAUUACAAAAAACUGUUGAAGUCCCAGUGAAAUUAAAAAUUACAAUGCCUAUUUUUUCAUAAAAUAUUGUAGCGUUUAUUGUAAAUAAAUUAUCAAUGUGCGUCAUUCUCUUUUUAAAAGUCGUUUGCCCUCGUAAUCUUUAGUCAAAAUCUGAAAAUGAAAUGCCCUUGUCAGACUCUGUCUAUCUUUAUUUUAUUUUGUUGAAAGUAGGCCUAGUGAAAACACUAUCAUUGAGCAAAUGAGAAUGCAAAAAAUAUAUUUGUGGUUGUCUCCCAGUCACCGCUAUAGAAGUUUACCCAACUAUGGUGACUUCAUGGCGAAGUGAAGCUUUCUGAACCACCAUUUUGUUCAGCAAAUUUGUAUCUGAAAAAGGAUCUUAAGCUCUUAGCUUUUCGAAUCAGAACUCUACUAUGACCUCUGCUGGUGAAAGUGAGGGGAAGCACUGUGUCGCAAAAUGUUUCACAAUAGAACAACGCAUUCAUUUUAGAAUCAAUAAUGAAGAUCAGUAAAUUAAUAAAUCAGUAUAUUAAGUACAUGGCAACAAUCUGUUUCGUUGCAUACCUCUUGUAAUAAUAAUAUUAUAAAUAUAUAAUAUAAUAAAAAUAACAUUUUGUAUUGUUGAUGUGGACAUUUCUUUCUGUUUGUAAGUAAAUAAAUGCAGGUGCAUGCACAUGAUUAUAUUACAUCUGUAGCAGUAACAAGCCAAGACAACGCAUUUUUAAACCUUUGAAUCAAAGUGUGACGCAGUCACGUGGGUGAGUGUGUGUGAAAUGAAGCUUCGACGUGAUUUCGAUUAGUUGUUUUUGUAUGUACUUAUAUGGAUUGUUUCCGAUUUUAAUGUAAUGCUUUGUAGUGACACAAAACCAUCCUGUGCAUUGCCCUCUUCUUGAUUAUCCUGCUUAAUUGUGAUUACCUAUUUAUCUACUAAGGAUUGUUUUAUGUAAUGUGAAUGAACAUCUACAAUUGAUCCAACUGAAAUACUGAAGUUUAAUAAAGAAGAAUAAG